rnacentral:rRNA from 1 species
AUUGAACGCUGGCGGCAUGCCUUACACAUGCAAGUCGAACGGUAACGCGGGGGCAACCCUGGCGACGAGUGGCGAACGGGUGAGUAGCGCAUCGGAACGUGCCCAGUAGUGGGGGAUAGCCCGGCGAAAGCCGGAUUAAUACCGCAUACGACCUACGGGUGAAAGCGGGGGACCGCAAGGCCUCGCGCUAUUGGAGCGGCCGAUGCCCGAUUAGCUAGUUGGUGAGGUAAAGGCUCACCAAGGCGACGAUCGGUAGCUGGUCUGAGAGGACGACCAGCCACACUGGGACUGAGACACGGCCCAGACUCCUACGGGAGGCAGCAGUGGGGAAUUUUGGACAAUGGGGGAAACCCUGAUCCAGCCAUGCCGCGUGCGGGAAGAAGGCCUUCGGGUUGUAAACCGCUUUUGGCAGGAACGAAACGGCGCGCGCCAAUACCGCGCGCUAAUGACGGUACCUGCAGAAUAAGCACCGGCUAACUACGUGCCAGCAGCCGCGGUAAAAC